ACCUGGGUGGCUCAGUAGGUUGGGCAUCUGACUUUGGCUCAGAUAAUGAUCUCACAGCCUGUGAGUUCAAGCCCCGCAUUGGGUU
rnacentral:tRNA from 1 species